rnacentral:rRNA from 1 species
UACGGAGGGUGCAAGCGUUAUCCGGAUUUACUGGGUUUAAAGGGUGCGUAGGCGGGCCGUUAAGUCAGUGGUGAAAGCUCCGAGCUUAACUCGGAAACUGCCAUUGAUACUAUUGGUCUUGAAUUCGGUCGAGGUUGGCGGAAUGUGUCGUGUAGCGGUGAAAUGCUUAGAUAUGACACAGAACACCGAUUGCGAAGGCAGCUAGCUAGACCGACAUUGACGCUGAGGCACGAAAGCGUGGGGAUCAAACAGG